AAACUAGACUUAGGAAGUGCGUCUCCUAUUGGCAAAACUAGACUUAGGAAGUGCGUCUCCUAUUGGUAAAACUAAACUUAGGAAGUGCGUCUCUUAUUGGUAAAGACGUGGAAUGUAUUCCCUUGUUAUACAGGUGGGCGCCUAAUGGUAAAGACAUGAAAUGUAUUCCCUUGUUAUACAGGUGGGCGCCUGAUGGUAAAGACACAAAAUGUAUUCCCUUGUUAUACAGAUGGGCGCCUUAAAAUAUGAAAUGAACAGACAAAAAGUAUUCCUCUCGUUAUUCAGGUGGGCGCCUGUCUUCAACAAUAAUUUAGAAAAUAAAAUCCUAUUAGAGGGCGGAUGAAUCCAAAAUAUCCUAUUGGAGGGCGGAUGAACCCAAAAUAUCCUAUUCGAGGGCGGAUGAACCCAAAAUAUCCUAUUUGAGGGCGGAUGAACCCAAAAUAUCCUAUUCGAGGGCGGAUGAACCCAAAAUAUCUU
rnacentral:lncRNA from 1 species